AAAAAAGUCGAAAACGAAGCUUAUAACUAACAACAAAAUAAAAAGAAGCACAAACAGAAAAUGAAUACCAAAUACCAAUUUAAAAGAGAAGGAAGCUGAUCAAAAAUUAAUAUAGAUUGCUUAAUUCAGUGACGCAAUAUAAUUAAUUUCUGUUUUCAUGAACUUUACUUUUGAGACAUCUGCUUCAACUUUUGCUUUACGAUCUUCUGCUCUUCAAUCAAGAAGGCACGAACAAUUCGAUCCUUGACAGCAUUGGCGCUAAGGCAUCCACCAUAGGCACGUUGGACCUUCUUCUGGUUGUGCGAGAGACGAGCGAACUCACGAGGACGCAAAGCAGGAAUACCUUGCAAGGGAACACCGGUAUCACCGCAGCGAGGUAUAGUACCAAGCUUCUUAAUAUGAAGGUAGCGAAUGUUAUUACCGGGAGUCUUGAUGAUUCUGGUUUUGUUGCUACGAGUGUUGUAUGCAAGACGACGACGAUAAGUAACUCUUUG